AACGAACGCUGGCGGCAGGCUUAACACAUGCAAGUCGAGCGCCCCGCAAGGGGAGCGGCAGACGGGUGAGUAACGCGUGGGAAUCUACCCAUCUCUACGGAAUAACGCAUGGAAACGUGUGCUAAUACCGUAUACGUCCUUCGGGAGAAAGAUUUAUCGGAGAUGGAUGAGCCCGCGUUGGAUUAGCUAGUUAGUGGGGUAAAGGCCUACCAAGGCGACGAUCCAUAGCUGGUCUGAGAGGAUGAUCAGCCACACUGGGACUGAGACACGGCCCAGACUCCCACGGGAGGCAGCAGUGGGGAAUAUUGGACAAUGGGCGCAAGCCUGAUCCAGCCAUGCCGCGUGAGUGAUGAAGGCCCUAGGGUUGUAAAGCUCUUUCACCGGUGAAGAUAAUGACGGUAACCGGAGAAGAAGCCCCGGCUAACUUCGUGCCAGCCGCCGCGGUAACAC
rnacentral:rRNA from 1 species